GGCGGGGCGGGGCGGGGCGGGCGGGCAGAGGGCGGAAGCAGGGAUUGGGUGGAAGAGAGCUGAAACCUAAAGCGGAAGUCCCGCCCAGCCCGGGCGAAACUUCCGGCUCCAACGGUUUGGGACUUAAUGCUGACGGAGCAGAGCCAGCAGCGCCAGGAUGGUGCUGCUGGAAAGCGAGCAGUUCCUGACGGAGCUGACCAGGCUCUUCCAGAAGUGCCGGUUGUCGGGCAGCGUGUUCAUCACCCUGAAGAAGUGUAAGCAGCUGUGGAUGCAGCAAGGCCGGAAGGGAGCUGGGAGGCCGAGCGAUGCCCCGGCCCGGGUGCCCAGUGACUGGGAGCCACAGGCAGAGUCUGUCUGCCGCGCGUCCCCGCCUUCCCGUACCUUCCUCCACCUGAUGAUGGUCGAACUAAACCCAUUCCAAGGAAGGGUUCUGUGGAGGGCUUUGAGCCCUCCGACAACAAGUGUCUGUUAAGAGCUACUGAUGGGAAAAAGAAGAUCAGCACUGUGGUGAGCUCCAAAGAAGUGAAUAAGUUUCAGAUG
rnacentral:lncRNA from 1 species